rnacentral:rRNA from 1 species
UACAGAGGUCUCAAGCGUUGUUCGGAUUCAUUGGGCGUAAAGGGUGCGUUAGGCGGCGGGGCAAGUCUGAUGUGAAAUCCCGGGGCUCAACUCCGGAACUGCAUUGGAUACUGCCUUGCUCGAGUACUGGAGAGGAGACUGGAAUUUACGGUGUAGCAGUGAAAUGCGUAGAGAUCGUAAGGAAGACCAGUGGCGAAGGCGAGUCUCUGGACAGUUACUGACGCUGAGGCACGAAAGGCCAGGGGAGCAAACGGG